ACGCUUGAUCCUUUAUUCAUAUACUCGGAUCUACGUGUCAAUUAAUGGAUAUUUCUUUUUCUUUCCUUAACUUCUUUCUCUUCCAUAUCUCCUUCUUUCUUCUUUCUGCUCCCUGCUUUCUUUCAUCCACAUCCGUCUUUCUCUCUGUAAGGGAAACAACAACGUGGUCGGAUCCUUGGUGGUAUAUCUACUUAUCGACUUAGUUUAAUCCCUCCGCUCCUUCUCGAUGUUUCCUCCACCGCAUCUCCCUAUUUGCUCUACCUUCCACUGAUUGUCGUCACGGGAGUAACUUCAGAUGGUAGUGUUUUGUUUAUUUCAAUCGCGCUUCCUUCUACGUAUUCACUAUGUUUUCUGCAGAUAAUUUGGGGUUUUUUUCUGGCAGCAAGGGAAUUUGCUUGAUGGUUGUAAGAGGAUUAAUCUAUUGCAGAGUACAAACACGCACGUCGACUUCCACGUUCUGCAACCACCGCAAUUUCUCACCCUCCCUUUAUAUAGUCGAUCUAACCCACAUACCUUAUUUGAUUUGAAUCCAUCAGGUAUAAAUUUAUAAUUUGAUUUGAUUUUUGGUUCCAGGUUUUAUAGAGACUUCAUGUAGCAAUUCAGGUACUGCACAAUUUGAUGAAGAUCAAGAAGUUGAAAUCUUGGGAUAAAGUACGAGCUGCACCCAAUCGGUCCGUGGUCUGGGACAAGCUGAGAUCAAGCUCAUUUGAAUAUACAGCUUCAACAAAUUUAGACAAGUGUCACUGCUGGGAGGUUUCUCAUUUCAUGGAAUUCAACAGAAGGGGAAAAUAAUACGAUUUCUUUGUUUUCUCUUUCCUUCCUUUCCAAUUUCUGAUGAUGGUGUUUGUUGAAGCUGAUCUGUUUGGGUUGGCGUAUCGGGAAUGUUUACCAACUGAAGUGGGGAGGAGGAUUGGAAAUUUAAUAAAUUGAUUGUUUGGAGUUGUUUACCUGUGUCUAAAUUUAACUUUGGUGAUAUUUUGGAUAUAUUUUAUAAGGUAUGCUAUUUUUUUCAGAUUCCAAAGGAAACCGGGUAAUAGAUUAACAUGUUGUAUGUGUUCUUCUUUUUCUGUGAUCAAUUUCCUUUCCUGCUCAUAAUCACUAUCAUAAAUGUUGAUUAUGUUGAUGGUGUGUUCAUACAGGUUGUUACUGCGUAUGAUUGGAAAAUAUGAUGUGCACAAUUAAAUAUAUAUAUAUAGAUUACAAUGAUUUUCAGAUGGUGUUUGUUGAAGCCGAUCUGUUUCGGCUGGCGUAUCGGGGAUUUUUACUCAUUCAAUCUUAAUAGAGAAGGAAUUUAUAACCUGCUAUUUGUAAUUUGUUGUUGUUUUGAAGUUUUUGGAAUUUCUUUUACAUUAUUAAUGGAAUAUAUUUCCUCUUUAGAGACGCACAUCAAGUGCUCGACAAAAUGUCUGAUACAAACACCACUGCAAAAUAUGUGACUCCAAAUAGGGGUUCGUUGUUGGAGCAAUCAUCUUAUGUACAACCAAGUGGAAACCCUCGCGUCUGUUGUGAAGAACUAAUCUGAGACGUC